AGCAGCCGCGGUAAUUCCAGCUCCAAUAGCGUAUAUUAAAGUUGUUGCAGUUAAAAAGCUCGUAGUUGAAUUUCGGGGUCAAUAUGUUGGUCGUGCCUUCGGUACGUACUGGUGUUAUUGAUCUCUCCCUUCUGAUGAAUCAUGAUGUCAUUAAUUUGGUGUCGUGGGGAGUCAGGACUGUUACUUUGAAAAAAUUAGAGUGUUUAAAGCAGGCUCACGCUUGAAUACAUUAGCAUGGAAUAAUGAAAUAGGGCGUUCGAUCCUAUUUUGUUGGUUUCUAGGAUCAACGUAAUGAUUAAUAGGGAUAGUUGGGGGCAUUAGUAUUCAAUUGUCAGAGGUGAAAUUCUUGGAUUUAUUGAAGACUAACUACUGCGAAAGCAUUUGCCAAGGAUGUUUUCAUUAAUCAAGAACGAAAGUUAGGGGAUCGAAGACGAUCAGAUACCGUCGUAG
rnacentral:rRNA from 1 species